rnacentral:lncRNA from 1 species
AGCAGCCAGGGCCGCGCCGUUUCCGACCCGCCGGGUGCCGGGCACGCCACGGACACGCGCGGCUCCCCGUUUUCGCGGAGGAUUCCCAGGCCGGGUCAGGAGGACGCUCCACGAGCCCGUGGGUCCCGGUGGUCCCAGCCAUUGGGGCGGCUCCCGUGACUGUCGAGCAGCGCCCACCCCGGGCAGCAUGGGGCUCCCGCGACGCGCUCCGUCCCUUCCCCACCAGGGGCUCUGCCGGUGUCGGCCAUGGGCGCGGGUACACACCAGGCGCCUAAUGAGUGCUGAGGCGGGCGAGGGUCCCGGCAGGCGGGAUUACCGCGGCCAGGCCUGACUAGCGCCCUGUCUGCGCUGUGUCCUGGGACCUCGGUCACCGCGCAGGGCGGGACACCGAGGCCUCGCGGCCAAGCGACUCGCCGCGGUCGCCGGGCUGCGAACGGUGGAGCCGCCGGGACUCGGACCAGGACGCGAGCUCCAGAGCAGGGGAUGACAGGCCUGAGCCGCAGGGGCCGGGAGGAAGGCCGCGCUGCUGUCCUGGGGCUGGGCAGCCUCCGCAUUGCACAGCGCAGACCGCUCUAGCCUUAGGCCUGGAGGGGACACCAGGAGAUGAGGCUUCUGGCUCAGCCUGCUCUCUGCAGCCACAGGCAAAGGCCAGGAAGGCCGGGGUGCGGGAGCUGGCAUAGGAGCUGGCUCCAGCUCGGGUACUGGCUUAGAGGGAGCAGGAGCUGGUGAUAAAUUCAACUCAAAUUUUCAUUGCCUUUGCAAAGCCAGAAAACACCCCAGGGCUCCUAAGAAAAGCCCCAGCGCAGGACCCCAGGACACUUUGCAACUGGGCUGCAACUGCGCGGUCUGAGGCUCCUCCCUGUGUGGCCCCACCAGCAGGCUGGGUUCUAGCUCUGGUGUUGGGGCUGGAGCUGGCACCACAGCAGGCUCCACCUCCAGAGAUGGUGCAGGCUCUGUCCUAGCACUGACACGGUUGUUGGAGACAAGCUGGCUCUGCCCCGGGGACCGAUGCUCUGGAGCUGCCUCUAGCUGUGUUGCUGUUGCUAGUCUUUGCCCUGGGAAAAGUGUCAGAGCUGGUCCUAGCUCUGGAUAUGGUGCUAGAGCUGGUUCUUGAUUGGAUUUCGCUCUAGAGCUGGCAGGAACUCUGGCUCUCGUUCUGAAGCUGGUGCAGGUCUGAGAUGGCUGUAGCUCUGGAGCUGCCUCUAAUUCUGGUUCUGGUUGUGGAAUCAGCCAUCGCUUUAUAUCUGGUGCCAGCUCUGGCUCUGGAGGUGGUGCUGCAGCUGGCCCUUCCUCUGAACCUGGCACUGGCUUGAGGUCUACACCUGGAACUGGCUGAAACUCUGGAAGUGGUUUUGGAGCCGGUGCCCGAGCAGUCACCGGAGGUGGCACCAGAUUUGGUGAUAGAGCUGCCUCUGUUUCUGGAGUAGGUGGUAGAGCUGGUGCGGCAGCUGGAGUGAGAUCUGGAGUUGUGCUGGCUGUGGCCAUAGUUCUUGAGCUGGUACAGGAACCCGCACUGGUGUGAGCCGCGGUGCUGAAGCUGGGCCUGUAGCUGAUGCUGGCCCUGGCUCUUUUUCUGAACCUGAUGCUGAUAUUUGGCCCUAACCAUGCAAAUGGUUUUGGAACUGGUCCUGGCUAGAGGGCGGAUGCUGGAGCUAUAGUGGAGCCGGCACAGAAGUGACCAGAGCUGCCCCUGUCUCUGGGUGUGCUGCUGGAGCUGUUGCUGGAGCUGGCUCUGAUCCUGGAACUAGCACCCGAGUUGUAGCCGGAGCUGGCUCUACCUUCUGAGCUGGUGCAGGAGUUGGCUGUAGCUCUGUAGCUAGUGAAAGCUCUAGCUGUGGAGAGAGGGCAAGAGACAUCUCCUCCUUCAGAGAUACUGAGUCCAUUGCACCCGACCCAGCACUUGCUCCAUGCUGCGGGGUAGAUCUACCAAGCACUUACUGAAACCAGUAUGCAUAGCCCCGGAGCAGACCAUGACCUGCUGAGACCCAGGAGAGGACCUGAGCCCCAGCACCUGAGAGAGGAGCUACCCCAUGACAGUGGGGUACUUAGAAGGUGGAGAUGUCACAUCCCCUGCCCCAGGUCACAUGACAGAGGUCAGAGGGUAGGUAGAUGGCACUUCUGUGCAGGUCAGCCCAGGCUAGGUGCGGUGGCUCACGCCUGUAAGGCCAACACUUUGGGAGGCUGAGGCGGGCGGAUCACCUGAGGUCAGGAGUUCAUGACCAUCCUGGCCAACAUGGUGAAACCCUGUCUCUACUAAAAAUACAAAAAUUAGCCGGGCAUAGUGACGCAACCCUGUAAUCCCAGCUACUUGGGAG